UUGUGCUUUCAGCUUCUUUACAGUGCUGCCUUGUUGCGUUCAUGUCAAGCAGCAUUGUACAGGGCUAUGAAAGAGCAG
rfam:Opisthocomus hoazin contig45356, whole genome shotgun sequence.